AGGCAGCAGUGGGGAAUAUUGCACAAUGGGCGCAAGCCUGAUGCAGCCAUGCCGCGUGUAUGAAGUAAGGCCUUCGGGUUGUAAAGUACUUUCAGCAGUGAGGAAGUGGGUAUGUUAAUAGCAUAUUCAUUUGACGUUAGCUGCAGAAGAAGCACCGGCUAACUCCGUGCCAGCAGCCGCGGUAAUACGGAGGGUGCGAGCGUUAAUCGGAAUUACUGGGCGUAAAGCGCAUGCAGGUGGUUUGUUAAGUCAGAUGUGAAAGCCCGGGGCUCAACCUCGGAAUUGCAUUUGAAACUGGCAAACUAGAGUACUGUAGAGGGGGUAGAAUUUCAGGUGUAGCGGUGAAAUGCGUAGAGAUCUGAAGGAAUACCGGUGGCGAAGGCGGCCCCCUGGACAGAUACUGACACUCAGAUGCGAAAGCGUGGGGAGCAAACAGGAUUAGAUACCCUGGUAG
rnacentral:rRNA from 1 species